rnacentral:rRNA from 1 species
UACAGAGGGUGCAAGCGUUUAAUCGGAAUUACUGGGCGUAAAGGGCGCGUAGGUGGGAUUGCAAGUCAGAUGUGAAAGUCCUGAGCUUAACUUAGGGAUGUCAUUUGAGACUGCGAUUCUAGAGUGAAGCAGAGGGUAGCGGAAUUUCCGGUGUAGCGGUGAAAUGCGUAGAUAUCGGAAAAGAACACCAGUGGCGAAGGCGGCUAUCUGGGGCUUUAACUGACACUGAGGCGCGAAAGCGUGGGGAGCGAACAGG